rnacentral:rRNA from 1 species
UGGGGAAUAUUGCACAAUGGGCGAAAGCCUGAUGCAGCGACGCCGCGUGGGGGUUGACGGCCUUCGGGUUGUAAACCUCUUUCAGCAAGGAAGAAGCGAAAGUGACGGUACUUGCAGAAGAAGCGCCGGCUAACUACGUGCCAGCAGCCGCGGUAAUACGUAGGGCGCAAGCGUUGUCCGGAAUUAUUGGGCGUAAAGAGCUUGUAGGUGGCUUGUCGCGUCUGCCGUGAAAACCCGAGGCUUAACCUUGGGCGUGCGGUGGGUACGGGCAGGCUAGAGUGCGGUAGGGGAGACUGGAAUUCCUGGUGUAGCGGUGAAAUGCGCAGAUAUCAGGAGGAACACCGAUGGCGGAGGCAGAUCUCUGGGCCGUUACUAACACUGAGAAGCGAAAGCAUGGGGAGCGAACAGG